rnacentral:rRNA from 1 species
GCGUAAUAGCUCACUGGUCGAGUCGGCCUGCGCGGAAGAUGUAACGGGGCUAAACCAUGCACCGAAGCUGCGGCAGCGACACUAUGUGUUGUUGGGUAGGGGAGCGUUCUGUAAGCCGUUGAAGGUGGCCUGUGAGGGUUGCUGGAGGUAUCAGAAGUGCGAAUGCUGACAUAAGUAACGAUAAAGCGGGUGAAAAGCCCGCUCGCCGGAAGACCAAGGGUUCCUGUCCAACGUUAAUCGGGGCAGGGUGAGUCGACCCCUAAGGCGAGGCCGAAAGGCGUAGUCGAUGGGAAACAGGUUAAUAUUCCUGUACUUGGUGUUACUGCGAAGGGGGGACGGAGAAGGCUAUGUUGGCCGGGCGACGGUUGUCCCGGUUUAAGCGUGUAGGCUGAUUUUCCAGGCAAAUCCGGAGAAUCAAGGCUGAGGCGUGAUGACGAGGCACUACGGUGCUGAAGCAACAAAUGCCCUGCUUCCAGGAAAAGCCUCUAAGCAUCAGGUAACAUCAAAUCGUACCCCAAACCGACACAGGUGGUCAGGUAGAGAAUACCAAGGCGCUUGAGAGAACUCGGGUGAAGGAACUAGGCAAAAUGGUGCCGUAACUUCGGGAGAAGGCACGCUGAUAUGUAGGUGAAGCGACCUGCUCGUGGAGCUGAAAUCAGUCGAAGAUACCAGCUGGCUGCAACUGUUUAUUAAAAACACAGCACUGUGCAAACACGAAAGUGGACGUAUACGGUGUGACGCCUGCCCGGUGCCGGAAGGUUAAUU